UCCGAGUUGACCCCGGCAGUCUCCUAUGAGUCCCCGGCAUAACCCGCUGGCAACAUAGAACGAGGGUUGCGCUCGUUACGGGACUUAACCCAACACCUCACGGCACGAGCUGACGACAACCAUGCACCACCUGUAUAGGACGCCGAAGCACACCACAUCUCUGUGGCUUUUCCCUAUAUUUCAAGCCCUGGUAAGGUUCUUCGCGUUGCGUCGAAUUAAGCCACAUGCUCCGCCGCUUGUGCGGGCCCCCGUCAACUCCUUUGAGUUUUAGCCUUGCGGCCGUACUCCCCAGGCGGGGUGCUUAAUGCGUUAGCUGCGGCACAGACGGCGUGGAAUACCGCCUACACCUAGCACCCACCGUUUACGGCGUGGACUAC
rnacentral:misc_RNA from 1 species